rnacentral:rRNA from 1 species
UACGUAGGGGGCAAGCGUUGUCCGGAUUUAUUGGGCGUAAAGAGCGUGUAGGCGGCCACACAGGUCUGCUGUGAAAACUCGAGGCUCAACCUCGAGCUGUCGGUGGAAACCGUGUGGCUAGAGUCCGGAAGAGGAGAGUGGAAUUCCCGGUGUAGCGGUGAAAUGCGCAGAUAUCGGGAAGAACACCCGUGGCGAAGGCGGCUCUCUGGGACGGUACUGACGCUGAGACACGAAAGCGUGGGGAGCGAACAGG